rnacentral:rRNA from 1 species
UGCCGCUAUUAUUGGGUCUAAAGCGUCCGUAGCCGGCCCUGUAAGUCCCUAGUGAAAUCUGGCAGCAAACUGUCAGGCGUGCUGGGGUUACUGCGGGGCUCGAGACCGGGAGAGGACACAGAUACUCGUAGGGUAGGGGUUAAAUCCUAUAAUCCUACGGGGAUCACCUGUGGCGAAGGCGUGUGUCUGGAACGGGUCUGACGGUGAGGGACGAAAGCUAGGGGAGCGAUCGGGAUUAGAUACCCCUGUAGUCC